GAUGAACGCUGGCGGCGUGCCUAAUACAUGCCAGUCGAGCGAACGGACGAGAAGCUUGCUUCUCUGAUGUUAGCGGCGGACGGGUGAGUAACACGUGGAUAACCUACCUAUAAGACUGGGAUAACUUCGGGAAACCGUAGCUAAUACCGGAUAAUAUUUUGAACCGCAUGGUUCAAAAGUGAAAGACGGUCUUGCUGUCACUUCUAGAUGGAUCCGCGCUGCAUUAGCUAGUUGGUAAGGUAACGGCUUACCAAGGCAACGAUGCAUAGCCGACCUGAGGGGGUGAUCGGCCACCCUGGAACUGAGACACGGUCCAGACUCCUACGGGAGGCAGCAGUAGGGAAUCUUCCGCAAUGGGCGAAAGCCUGACGGAGCAACGCCGCGUGAGUGAUGAAGGUCUUCGGAUCGGAAAACUCUGUUAUUAGGGAAGAACAUAUGUGUAAGUAACUGUGCACAUCUUGACGGUACAUAAUCAGAAAGCCACGGCUAACUACGUG
rnacentral:rRNA from 1 species